AGUGGCGGACGGGUGAGGAACACGUAGCUGAUGUGCCUUCAAGUCUGGGAUAACUUCCCGAAAGGGACGCUAAUACCGGAUAAGCUCACGAGCUUUAGAGGCUUGAGAGAAAAGGUUCACUGCUUGAAGAGCAGGCUGCGACCUAUCAGGUAGUUGGCGGGGUAAAAGCCCACCAAGCCGACGACGGGUAAGGGGUCUGAGAGGAUGACCCCUCACACUGGGACUGAGACACGGCCCAGACUCCUACGGGAGGCAGCAGUGAGGGAUAUUGCACAAUGGGGGAAACCCUGAUGCAGCGACGCCGCGUGGGUGAAGAAGGUCUUCGGAUCGUAAAGCCCUUUUCUGCAUGACGAGAGAGGACGGUAGUGCAGGAAUAAGCCUCGGCUAACUACGUGCCAGCAGCCGCGGUAAAACGUAGGAGGCGAGCGUUAUCCGGAGUUACUGGGCGUAAAGCGUGCGUAGGCGGUUUCGUAAGUGGGACGUGAAAGCUCCCGGCUAAACUGGGAGAGGACGACUCAGACUGCGAAACUAGAGGGCGAUAGAGGAGCGCGGAAUCCGGGGUGUAGCGGUGAAAUGCGUAGAGAUCCCGAGGAACACCAGUGGCGCAAACGGCGCUCUGGGUUGCUGCUGACGCUGAGGCACGAAAGCUUGGGGAGCGAACGGGAUUAGAGACCCCGGUAGUCCAAGCCGUAAACGAUGUCAACUGGGUGU
rnacentral:rRNA from 2 species